rnacentral:tRNA from 1 species
GGCCCUGUAGUGUAGAUGGUUAUCACACGGGAUUCUGACUUAAGAAUAUUCCCGUGACCCAGGUUCGAGUCCUGGCAGGGCCU